CCUACGGGGGGCAGCAGUGGGGAAUAUUGCACAAUGGGGGAAACCCUGAUGCAGCAACGCCGCGUGAGUGAAGAAGUAUUUCGGUAUGUAAAGCUCUAUCAGCAGGGAAGAAGAUGACGGUACCUGAAUAAGAAGCUCCGGCUAACUACGUGCCAGCAGCCGCGGUAAUACGUAGGGGGCAAGCGUAUCCGGAUUUACUGGGGUUAAAGGGAGCGCAGACGGCAGUGCAAGUCAGGAGUGAAAGCCCGGGGCACAACCCUGGAACUGCACUGGAAACUGGUAGGCUUGAGUACUGGAGGGGUAGGCGGAAUUCCUAGUGUAGCGGUGAAAUGCGUAGAUAUUAGGAGGAACACCAGUUGCGAAGGCGGCCUACUGGACAGUAACUGACGUUGAGGCUCGAAAGCGUGGGGAGCAAACAGGAUUAGAUACCCUUGUAGUC
rnacentral:rRNA from 1 species